rnacentral:rRNA from 1 species
UACGAAGGGGGCUAGCGUUGUUCGGAUUUACUGGGCGUAAAGCGCACGUAGGCGGAUCGUUAAGUCGGGGGUGAAAUCCUGGAGCUCAACUCCAGAACUGCCUUUGAUACUGGCAAGCUUGGAGUCCGGGAGAGGUGAGUGGAACUGCGAGUGUAGAGGUGAAAUUCGUAGAUAUUCGCAAGAACACCAGUGGCGAAGGCGGCUCACUGGCCCGGUACUGACGCUGAGGUGCGAAAG